GUUUAAACUUUUAACUUCAGCAGUCUUCGAGGGAAGAAGUUUCUAAUUAUUUUGAAGACCAACCCAUACAUCUCUUCAAGGUUGUUGCUGGGCCUGCAUGACAACUCGUCGAGUAGCGGAGGCCAAGGCGAGGGGAGGACAUAGCUUCAUUCUGGAAGUUUGCCCCACUAACAAGCCCGGAGGGACAAGAUUCAGGAAUCCUGCCAACCCUGCCAACGCUGUUCAGCCCGCCGACCCUGUCGACCCUGCAAACCCUGCAGAUGAUGAAUAACGACACUGCAUCUUUUGCGUGAAAAUAAUUGCAUCGUUCGUGCUCUUCAAAAUUUGUUUUCUUGUAGGCCUAUUAGGGAUUCCCUAUUUAUCUCCGUGGUUCUCAUAAUUAUUUUUAUUUGCCCUUUUAUGAA